rnacentral:rRNA from 1 species
UUAAACCUAUUUAAAAUGGCGGCAUUUCAUCUUAUUAGAGGAAUCUGUUUUAUAAUCGAUACUCCACGAUAAUUUUCACUUUAAUUAAAAAUUUAUAUACCGCCAUCUAAAGAAUCAAUUUAAUUAUAUUAUUCUAAAUAAUAACUAAAAAGUUAGGUCAAGGUGUAAUCAAUAUAAAAGAAAAUUAAUGGAUUACAUUAAAAAUAAUUUUAGGAAAAUAAAAAUAAAUUUUAAUUUGAAAAAGAAUUUAAAAGUAUUAAAACAAUAAUAUUUUAUUAUG